GCGAACGCUGGCGGCAGGCCUAACACCUGCCAGUCGAACGGAUCCUUCGGGAUUAGUGGCGGACGGGUGAGUAACACGUGGGAACGUGCCCUUUGGUUCGGAACAACUCAGGGAAACUUGAGCUAAUACCGGAUGUGCCCUUCGGGGGAAAGAUUUAUCGCCAUUGGAGCGGCCCGCGUCUGAUUAGCUAGUUGGUGAGGUAACGGCCCACCAAGGCGACGAUCAGUAGCUGGUCUGAGAGGAUGAUCAGCCACACUGGGACUGAGACACGGCCCAGACUCCUACGGGAGGCAGCAGUGGGGAAUCUUGCGCAAUGGGCGAAAGCCUGACGCAGCCAUGCCGCGUGAAUGACGAAGGUCUUAGGAUUGUAAAAUUCUUUCAGCGGGGACGAUAAUGACGGUACCCGCAGAAGAAGCUCCGGCUAACUUCGUG
rnacentral:rRNA from 1 species